UUAGAUUCCUGUACCACGCAUUAUCAGAACUGUAGGGACGCAUGUGGAAAGCACGAGCCGGGAAUGGAAAGACCGGUACAAGCGGGGUAGGUGUACAACAGGCAAAUCCGUUGUAUAAUCCGAAGACGUGAUGUGGAGCGAAAUAAAGUAGCAAAGCGUGUGAGCCAUGUGCCGAGAAAAGCUGCUAUUGUGUAAUGCGUGCCCGUAC
rnacentral:rRNA from 1 species